GACGAACGCUGGCGGCGUGCCUAAUACAUGCAAGUCGAGCGAAGUUUUUCUGGUGCUUGCACCGGAAAAACUUAGCGGCGAACGGGUGAGUAACACGUAAAGAACCUGCCUCAUAGACUGGGACAACUAUUGGAAACGAUAGCUAAUACCGGAUAACAGCAUUAACUGCAUGGUUGAUGUUUAAAAGUUGGUUUUGCUAACACUAUGAGAUGGCUUUGCGGUGCAUUAGCUAGUUGGUGGGGUAAAGGCCUACCAAGGCGACGAUGCAUAGCCGACCUGAAAGGGUGAUCGGCCACACUGGGACUGAGACACGGCCCAGACUCCUACGGGAGGCAGCAGUAGGGAAUCUUCCGCAAUGGGCGAAAGCCUGACGGAGCAACGCCGCGUGAGUGAAGAAGGAUUUCGGUUCGUAAAGCUCUGUUGUUAGGGAAGAAUGAUUGUGUAGUAACUAUACACAGUAGAGACGGUACCUAACCAGAAAGCCACGGCUAACUACGUG
rnacentral:rRNA from 1 species